CUGACAGGGACCAGCAUCCCCAGAUAUUCAGAUGGAUUAAAUCUGUGCCAGAGGGCCCCAUCCCGGGUGAGGGGAUUGCCCCGAGCAGGAAGUCAAUCUGGGUACCAGCAGCCAAGGUGAGCAACGGAGAGAAGUGGUUGUUAUUGCUCAGCUCUCAAGCACAACAUAUUUUCAGCAGAUUCAUCAUGACACAAGAGGGAUCUUCCCAGUGUCAAUGAUGAUGUUUGAGAUUGAGGCUUCAGGUGCCACCCCUAAUGAAGGCCCCAGCCUUGGAAUCAGGAUGAAGCUGGAGCCUGAGGGAGCCAGGCACACUCAGGAAAGGGGAAGUAGCUGACUUGCAGGGAUUUGGCCCACAUAACUCUGGACUCAUACUUUGGAUUUGGUUUUCUUUAUUGCAGCUGACCGAGAGGCUCACAGGCCAUCACGGGGCCCUCCAAGGCAGACUCAUUUCAGGUGCAGCGUGGAUUCUCAUGACUGACCAUCCAAAAGAUAAGUUGAGGGCCACGGCCUGGAGAUGGCGGAGUAGCAGGUUGGGAAUCCCUGGGACAGAUUUAAAAAUGAGCAGAGGGGAAAGCAAUCUUCUCCAAGGGCCUCUUAGGACAGCUAAAGGGAGAGGCUCUGCUUUUGAUGGCAGCUUUCAGCCGGGCAGUGCAGAACAGCUCUGGUCUGUGUCGUGUUGUCCGGUGUGCCGUGUUCCCUAGUGUGUCUUUGGGGUCCCUUUUGCCUUUUUCCCCUCGAGGC